rnacentral:rRNA from 1 species
GUGAGGAAUAUUGGUCAAUGGAGGCAACUCUGAACCAGCCAUGCCGCGUGUAGGACGAAGGCCCUAUGGGUUGUAAACUACUUUUAUUGGGGAAGAAACCUUUCUACGUGUAGAGAGCUGACGGUACCCAAGGAAUAAGGACCGGCUAACUCCGUGCCAGCAGCCGCGGUAAUACGGAGGGUCCAAGCGUUAUCCGGAAUCAUUGGGUUUAAAGGGUGCGCAGGCGGUAAAGUAAGUCAGUGGUGAAAUCUCUCGGCUCAACCGAGAAACUGCCAUUGAUACUGCUAUACUUGAAUAUAGUUGAAGUAGGCGGAAUGUGACAUGUAGCGGUGAAAUGCUUAGAUAUGUCACAGAACACCGAUAGCGAAGGCAGCUUACUAAACUAAAAUUGACGCUCAUGCACGAAAGCGUGGGGAGCGAACAGGAUUAGAAACCCGAGUAGUCC